UUCGAACCCAGAACAAAUCAGUUAAAAGCCGAUUACUCUUCCAUUGAGCUAGCAAACCUAUAAAAAUAUUUAUA
rnacentral:tRNA from 1 species